rnacentral:tRNA from 1 species
GGAGGUAUGGCUCAAGUGGAAGAGAACAUACCUCGCAAGUAUGAAAGUCCUGACUUCAAAUCCUAGUACUUCCU